ensembl:snRNA U6 U6 spliceosomal RNA
UUGCUCACUUUGGCAGCACAUAUACUAAAAUUGGAACAAUUGAAGAUUAGCACGGCCUCGAUACAAGGGUGCCACUCAAAUUUGUGAAGUUCUCCAUAUUUUU